rnacentral:rRNA from 1 species
ACAAGCGGUGGAGUAUGUGGUUUAAUUCGAUGCAACGCGAAGAACCUUACCUGGUCUUGACAUCCCGGAGACCCUUAGGAAACUAGGGGGUGCUUCCAUCUGGAAGAAUCUGGAGACAGGUGCUGCAUGGCUGUCGUCAGCUCGUGUCGUGAGAUGUUGGGUUAAGUCCCACAACGAGCGCAACCCUUGCCUUUAGUUGCCAGCAGUUCGGCUGGGCACUCUAAAGGGACUGCCGGUGUUAAACCGGAGGAAGGUGGGGAUGACGUCAAGUCCUCAUGGCCUUUAUGACCAGGGCUACACACGUACUACAAUGGCCGAUACAAAGGGCAGCGACACUGCGAGGUGAAGCCAAUCCCGUAAAAUCGGUCUCAGUCCGGAUUGGAGUCUGCAACUCGACUCCAUGAAGUUGGAAUCGCUAGUAAUCGUGGAUCAGCAUGCCACGGUGAAUACGUUCCCGGGCCUU